ensembl:misc_RNA Metazoa_SRP Metazoan signal recognition particle RNA
GCCAGGCACGGUGGCACAUGCCUCUAGUCCCAGCUAUUUGGGAGGCUGAGGUGGGAGGAUCGCUUGAGCCCAGGAAUUCUGGGCUGUAGUGUGCUAUGCUGAUCGGGUGUCCACACUAAGUUUGGCAUCAAUAUGGUGACCUCCCAGGAGUAGGGGACCACCAGAUUGCCUAAGGAGGGGUGAACCAGCCCAAAUCGGAAAUGGAGCAGGUCAAAACUCCUGUGCUGAUCAGUAGUGGGAUUGCGCCUGUGAAUAGCCACUGCACUCCAGCCUGGGCAACACAGCAAGAACCCAUCUCUA